ensembl:lncRNA
GAGGGUGUUAUGUGGGGCAGUGAGUGUGUGUUAUGUGGGGCAGCAGGGCAGUGAUGGUGUGUUAUGUGGGGCAGUGAGGGUGUUAUGUGGGGCAGCAGGGCAGUGAGGGUGCGUUAUGGGGGCAGUGAGGGGUGUUAUGUGGGGCAGCAGGGCAGUGAGGGUGCGUUAUGGGGGGCAGUGAGGGUGUGUUAUGUGGGGCAGCACGGCAGUGAGGGUGUAUGUGGGGCAGUGAGGGGUGUAUGUGGGGCAGUGAGGGUGUUAUGUGGGGCAGUGAGGGUGUUAUGUGGGGCAGUGAGGGUGUGUUAUGUGGGGCAGCAGGGCAGUGAUGGUGUGUUAUGUGGGGCAGUGAGGGUGUUAUGUGGGGCAGCAGGGCAGUGAUGGUGUGUUAUGUGGGGCAGUGAGGGUGUGUUAUGUGGGCAGUGAGGGUGUGUUAUGGGGG